rnacentral:piRNA from 1 species
GNGUUGCUGAAUGACAGACCUUGGGUUAC